rnacentral:lncRNA from 1 species
UAGAGGUGUUAAUAGACUCAAAUGUGGAAGAGGAGACAAACACAAGCUUGGCAAGUUCAGGUGAUGGUAAAUGAAGCAGGUUACGUUAAAGACAACCUCUUCUGUGCUGUUCAAUUUUUCUUACACAGCACAGAGUGCACCUGAGUAUUGAGUACAAAACAAUGUAAACGAGCCCUUGCAAACUGUCUGUGCACAAGCUGGGAUAAAUCUCUUACAAGCAGAGGAAAAUACACCAAUGAUUUUGCCUCUGGAUAGAGAUUGCUAGCAGUUUUUGAGAUUUCCCCAGAUUCAGUCCCUGGUGAGAACACAGGUGGUCCUCCUCAGAUAGGCUUCAUUCACACCACCCUUGUACCAUUAAGGAGAUGCUCUGUGCAAUUGAGGACGCUGACUGGAGCUCGACAUCUUGUGGCAUGGAGGUCUUCCUUGCAAGUCU